GGAUCAUUACCGAGUUUACAACUCCCAAACCCCUGUGAACAUACCUUUAUGUUGCCUCGGCGGAUCAGCCCGCGCCCCGUAAAACGGGACGGCCCGCCGCAGGAACCACAAAACUCUGAUUUUAGUGUAACUUCUGAGUCUAAAAAACAAAUAAAUCAAAACUUUCAACAACGGAUCUCUUGGUUCUGGCAUCGAUGAAGAACGCAGCAAAAUGCGAUAAGUAAUGUGAAUUGCAGAAUUCAGUGAAUCAUCGAAUCUUUGAACGCACAUUGCGCCCGCCAGUAUUCUGGCGGGCAUGCCUGUUCGAGCGUCAUUUCAACCCUCAAGCCCCCGGGUUUGGUGUUGGGGAUCGGGCUGUACUCCAGCCCGGCCCCGAAAUCUAGUGGCGGUCUCGCUGCAGCCUCCAUUGCGUAGUAGCUAACACCUCGCAACUGGAACGCGGCGCGGCCAAGCCGUUAAACCCCCAACUUCUGAAUGUUGACCUCGGAUCAGGUAGGAAUACCCGCUGAACUUAAGCAUAU
rnacentral:rRNA from 1 species